rnacentral:rRNA from 1 species
ACACAUGCAAGUCGAGCGGAACUGUUUUGAAAGAUUUCUUCGGAAUGAAUUUGAUUUAGUUUAGUGGCGGACGGGUGAGUAACGCGUGAGUAACCUGCCUUCAAGAGGGGGAUAACAUUCUGAAAAGAAUGCUAAUACCGCAUGACAUAUCGGAACCACAUGGUUUUGAUAUCAAAGAUUUUAUCGCUUGAAGAUGGACUCGCGUCCGAUUAGUUAGUUGGUGAGGUAACGGCUCACCAAGACCGCGAUCGGUAGCCGGACUGAGAGGUUGAACGGCCACAUUGGGACUGAGACACGGCCCAGACUCCUACGGGAGGCAGCAGUGGGGGAUAUUGCGCAAUGGGGGCAACCCUGACGCAGCAACGCCGCGUGAAGGAUGAAGGUUUUCGGAUUGUAAACUUCUUUUAUUAAGGACGAAACUUGACGGUACUUAAUGAAUAAGCUCCGGCUAACUACGUGCCAGCAGCCGCGGUAAUACGUAGGGAGCAAGCGUUGUCCGGAUUUACUGGGUGUAAAGGGUGCGUAGGCGGCUUUGCAAGUCAGAUGUGAAAUCUAUGGGCUCAACCCAUAAACUGCAUUUGAAACUGUAGAGCUUGAGUGAAGUAGAGGCAGGCGGAAUUCCCCGUGUAGCGGUGAAAUGCGUAGAGAUGGGGAGGAACACCAGUGGCGAAGGCGGCCUGCUGGGCUUUAACUGACGCUGAGGCACGAAAGCGUGGGUAGCAAACAGGAUUAGAUACCCUGGUAGUCCACGCUG